UCUGAGCAAUGGAGAGGAACCCAGCCCGCAGCAGACAGCCUGAAACCCCGUAUUCAGCUCUGAGGCCAUACCUACUACCUCUGGGCUUCUCAAGUCAUAUCAGCUAAUGUGUUUAAUUUUGGUUUUGGCCAUGUGAAAUCGGGUUUCCUGUCACUUACAUUUAAAGGACCCUAAAACAUCUCUCCACUUAAAACACUUUUUUCUUAUCUUAUCAUAAAACCAACAGUGAAACAAAAACCCAUCCCACCAUCAUGUGUUCAACCGCAGUCAAUCUCACUCCUUCCCUUCACACCAACCACCCUAUGUCCUCCUUUUCUAUCUCUUCCUUAACUCCCUGGAAAUGAAUCCAGAUUUUCCUCUACUUGCCUUCAGCAUGACCACAGGCGACCAGUGUCUUCACCUUGAAAUUCUGUUCUCACAUUUGGUUGAUAACCCUCCUGCUUCUCCUCCUGUCACACGUUUCCUUCCCUAGCUCCCCUCCAGUCCCAUGUGCCCGGCACGCACGAGUGCUCAUCAGGGUUUUGACGACCGCCCCCUUCCUUAGUAUUCCAGGUGACUGCCCGGGGCAGCGGAGACGGCGUGUAAAGGCCAGUGACUGCACUGGCGAAGGGCUGGGCAGAGAACUAUGGUGAGCGGGACCAAAAAGGGAAAGCAAGACCAAGAAGCAGCAAGAGAGGCAGGGUCUCAGUUGCCAAGGUUGGCCUCAAACUCUUGGUGUUGGGAGCCACCACAUUGCCGAGCCGCCGCAUAUAGCGAUCAUGCAGCCUGUGGUAAAGAGCAAAGCCUGAGUUAGAUUACCCCUCCCAUCGAGCACGUUAGUUUCCUGCUUACCGCGUAAACAACCCGCUCAAUAAUAUGUUAGCCAAUCAGCUUGCCUUGCUUACUUUAAUAUGACUGGACACUGUAUCCGUAUAUAUACUGGUGCCACCCCUGGGGGGAAGUAGAAGCCCGGAAGGAGCCGCGGAGAGCGGACCGGUAGAGGCUUCGGAGCGAAGCACGGAAGGAGCCGCGGGGAGCGGACCAGAGGAGGCUUCGGCUGGGAGCGAUCCCAGGGCAGGCUGUACGGAGAGAAAAUAAAAGAAAAGGUUGUCCACUGCCA